CGCUGGCGGCGUGCCUAAUACAUGCAAGUCGAACGCACUCUCGUUUAGAUUGAAGGAGCUUGCUCCUGAUUGAUAAACAUUUGAGUGAGUGGCGGACGGGUGAGUAACACGUGGGUAACCUGCCCUAAAGUGGGGGAUAACAUUUGGAAACAGAUGCUAAUACCGCAUAAAACCUAACACCGCAUGGUGUAGGGUUGAAAGAUGGUUUCGGCUAUCACUUUAGGAUGGACUCGCGGUGCAUUAGUUAGUUGGUGAGGUAAAGGCUCACCAAGACCGUGAUGCAUAGCCGACCUGAGAGGGUAAUCGGCCACACUGGGACUGAGACACGGCCCAGACUCCUACGGGAGGCAGCAGUAGGGAAUCUUCCACAAUGGACGAAAGUCUGAUGGAGCAACGCCGCGUGAGUGAAGAAGGUUUUCGGAUCGUAAAACUCUGUUGUUGGAGAAGAAUGUAUUUGAUAGUAACUGAUCAGGUAGUGACGGUAUCCAACCAGAAAGCCACGGCUAACUACGUG
rnacentral:rRNA from 1 species